rnacentral:lncRNA from 1 species
GAACAUAUUAAAAAAUAUAUAUUGUAAUUUCUACUUGAUAAUUAUACUUUUAGCAAUCCAUGUUCUAAACAUUGUUAAAUUAGUAAUGCUCUCAGUUUCAGAUCAUAUGAUGUAUUAAAAGCUAUAAUUCCUAUAUAGAUAAAAAAAAAAAAAAAAACCCAAAAAAACACAUAUUCUUUGAUAAUGGGUAGAGUGAAGUUAAACUGUAAAAACAUAAUAUGUUGAUGAAGAUGUACUAUAUCAUUCAUAACUACACAAACAAUGAAAUAAAGACUAUAGUUGAAAAGCAUCUUUAUUUUAAAAAACAACAUAUACAGUAAAAAAAAAAGAUUCAUUAACUCGUGAUAUACACAGAAACGUAGACAAAAAAUGAGCAGUGCCUUUUCUUAUCAUAAAAAGUGCCUUGCCCUCCACUGGCACCCUGCCCCUUUUGAUUUCUAGCUAGAGC